GGCCAGACUCCUACGGGAGGCAGCAGUGAGGAAUAUUGGUCAAUGGGCGGGAGCCUGAACCAGCCAUGCCGCGUGAAGGCGAGUGCCCUACGGGCGUUAAACUUCUUUUGUGCGGGAGCAAUAAGGGCCACGUGUGGCCCGAUGAGAGUACCGCACGAAUAAGCAUCGGCUAACUCCGUGCCAGCAGCCGCGGUAAUACGGGGGAUGCGAGCGUUAUCCGGAUUUAUUGGGUUUAAAGGGUGCGUAGGCGGCGCUUCAGGUCAGCGGUGAAAUACCGGGGCUCAACCCCGGGGCUGCCGUUGAAACCGGAGCGCUAGAAUUCCGAUGCCGUCGGAGGAAUGUGUGGUGUAGCGGUGAAAUGCAUAGAUAUUACACAGAACACCGAUUGCGAAGGCAGCUUGCUAGGCCGGAUCUGACACUGAUGCACGAAAGCGUGGGGAUCGAACAGGAUUAGAUACCCCGGUAC
rnacentral:rRNA from 1 species